rnacentral:rRNA from 1 species
UCGUGCACGCCCGAGUGCCCUCACACACAUCCAUCUCACCCCUAUGUGCACCACCGCGUGGGUCCCCCUUUGGCUCGUUCGGAGGGGGGCUUACGUUUUCACACAAACUUUGUAUGCAGUGUAGAAUGUAUUUUUUGUUUUUGCGAUCACGCAAUCAAUACAACUUUCAACAACGGAUCUCUUGGCUCUCGCAUCGAUGAAGAACGCAGCGAAAUGCGAUACGUAAUGUGAAUUGCAGAAUUCAGUGAAUCAUCGAAUCUUUGAACGCACCUUGCGCCCCUUGGCAUUCCGAGGGGCACACCCGUUUGAGUGUCGUGAAAUUCUCAAAAACCUUUUUCUUUUGGGAAAGGGUUUUUGGACUUGGAGGCUUUUUGCUGGCUUCACCUUGAAGUGAGCUCCUCCUAAAUGAAUCAGUGGGGUCCCCUUUGCCGAUCCUUGACGUGAUAAGAUGUUUCUGCGUCUUUGGGUUUGGCACUGUCACCUGCUUCUAACUGUCUCAUUGACAAUGAUGGUGUUCCGGUCACCACCGCUCUUAUCGGUGGGAGGCUUGAC